rnacentral:lncRNA from 1 species
CUGUUUUGACAGCAGAUACUGUUCGCACAUCAUUGAAGUUGCAGUUCAGACAGUUUGCACCAGGGCAAAGUGAGCAACUUGGUGAGACUUGGAAAUGGUUAUAGACGAUAUGCUAGCCAGAGGCAAUAAAAGAAACCCAUCAUUGUGUGUUGCGAGGACUAAAGCCGCUGUGGACCAUGGAUAAAGAAGCAGAAAAGGAAGCUGGAUCCAAACUCUGUGAGGAACGGCCAUGUGACCAUGCUUUGACCCCCGCUCUUCAAUCAAGGUGGUCUGAGUUGGCAGAGACGGAUCAAAGUGUCAAAGGGACAAAAAAAAAAGAGCCUUCUUCAAGCUCAGGCAAGCACACUUUGUUUUGCAUGCUGCCAUAUGG